UGGGGAAUAUUGGACAAUGGGGGAAACCCUGAUCCAGCAAUGCCGCGUGGGUGAAGAAGGCCUUAGGGUUGUAAAUCCCUUUCGGCGGGGAAGAUGAUGACGGUACCCGCAGAAGAAGCCCCGGCUAACUCCGUGCCAGCAGCCGCGGUAAUACGGAGGGGGCUAGCGUUGUUCGGAAUUACUGGGCGUAAAGGGCGUGUAGGCGGUCGGUCAAGUUAGGCGUGAAAGCCCCGGGCUCAACCUGGGAACUGCGCUUAAUACUGAUCGACUAGAGACCGGGAGAGGUGAGUGGAAUUCCCAGUGUAGAGGUGAAAUUCGUAGAUAUUGGGAAGAACACCAGUGGCGAAGGCGGCUCACUGGCCCGGUUCUGACGCUGAUGCGCGAAAGCGUGGGGAGCAAACAGGAUUAGAUACCCCCGUAGUCC
rnacentral:rRNA from 1 species